UAAGUAAAUCGCCUUAUCGAUUCUAAAUUUAUUUAGGGUAGGAAAGUCCGAACACCAUAGUGCAAUCAUAGUGGCUAACAGCCAUCCAUCGAAAGGUGAGGAAAAGUGCAACAGAAAGUAUGUACAGGUAAUGCUGUAGUGAAACCAGGUAAACUCUAUGUGGUGCAAUGUCAUGUAAACUAACGUUUGAGCGUGCACGCGCGAUUGUUAGAGGGUAGGCAGCUAAAGUUUGCUAGUAAUAGUAAACGUAGAUAAAUGAUAAGGGCUUUUCAUUUUUAGAAUUCAUUUUCUAAAAAAGAAAAGUACAGAAUUCGGCUUAUAGAUUUGCUUAAGUA
rnacentral:RNase_P_RNA from 1 species